rnacentral:rRNA from 1 species
UUGACCUCGGAUCAGGUAGGGAUACCCGCUGAACUUAAGCAUAUCAAUAAGCCGGAG